GGGCGCCUAGCUCAGUUGGUAGAGCAGCUGACUCUUAAUCAGCGGGUCAGAGGUUCGAAUCCUCUGGCGCCCACCA
rnacentral:tRNA from 2 species